UACGUAGGUGGCAAGCGUUGUCCGGAAUUAUUGGGCGUAAAGCGCGCGCAGGCGGUUUCUUAAGUCUGAUGUGAAAGCCCCCGGCUCAACCGGGGAGGGUCAUUGGAAACUGGGGAACUCGAGUGCAGAAGAGGAAAGUGGAAUUCCAAGUGUAGCGGUGAAAUGCGUAGAGAUUUGGAGGAACACCAGUGGCGAAGGCGACUUUCUGGUCUGUAACUGACGCUGAGGCGCGAAAGCGUGGGGAGCAAACAGG
rnacentral:rRNA from 1 species